rnacentral:piRNA from 1 species
UGGAUAACCUUAUAUGAUCAUUUUGAGCUU